UCUCCACCUGCUGCCAUGUUCUUUCAAUUCACGCAACUAAGAUUCCCAAAUUCUACCGUAAUUUCAUUUUCUUUUCAGAAUACAAAACUCCUUCGUACAUGAUGACGACUGUGUGUUAGGUCUGAGAGCUCCAAUCGAAAGCAUCAAACAUCCUAUAGAGAUCUUCAUACUAGCCUCCUUUAAUUGCUACGCCGAGGGGAAGAUCUCUCUUUGAAGUCGCACAAAUCAGGUUGGUGUUGUUGUUGGCAUUGACAUUGAUUCUAUUCCCCCUUCUUCUCCUAUCUCUCUCUUCCCACGUCACACAAAUCAGCAACAAUGUAUGGAGAAUCUGCCACCGCUAUUCACAAGGUUCAAGUUGAUCUCUUAGGCUUCAUAGAUUGGACUGGUGUUGAAGUUCUUAAUCAAAGCACCACUCACUCUCAUCCCAAUGCUAUAAAAAAUGUUCAAUUCUUUUUCUAUGAUUCAGUUCAAAAUCAAAAACCCUUAUUGUGUUAGCUAUGAUUUUAUCUUACUGUAAUUUUGAUUGAAGAAAAUUAGGGUUAUAGUGAAGAUGAAGGUAUGCAUCUAGAAAGUGAUGCAGAUGAGCUGCUCUUGCUUUAUAUUGCUUUCACCCAAGUCAUUAAUCAUCCUUAAUCAUCCUUGAUCUGAGGGGAAUUACUGGACAACUAGCUGUUGCAGUCCCGACGCAGGAAGGACAAGCGUUUCAUCGGAACUAUUUCAGAUAAUUCCUCUCAUUCUCAGUUUGAUAAAAAGUCCCUUCACAAAACAUGAAAGUGAAUUCGAAGCUCUGUAUAUGCCUUACCACAGAGAUCUUCCAAGGAUCCUUUUCUUUGUACUUGAUAUUUCAUAUUUCUUCUUAGCUUCACCUAUUUUACCGUUCCUCUUGGUCUAUCUCUGUCUCGCAUACAUCAUUUACCGAAACCAGGUCAGAUUUCUUUGUAUGCUUAUCUUGAAAAUUCAUUUUAUCGACGUGAAUAAUGUUUGUGAGACUCGAAAAAACUGGUUUUUUACAUGGCUUGCACUGAUGUGAUGAUUUUGUAUUACGCAGUUCAUAAAUAUAUAUGCAUCAAAGUACGAAACUGCUUAAAGAUUAUGGCCUAUCGUACAUGAUUCAAUGAUAUUUUCUCUAGUACACUUGUUUUCAUUGUUGUGUGAGAUGCACAUGUUAUGAAGUGACAUGACUUUGCAACCUCUUUUCUUAGUAAUGAUGGUGGAAUUUUUUAAUCCAUUGUCCUUAUCUGUUUUGCAUUUUGAUUUUGGUUGCUUAUUAUUUCCAAUGUUGUGUCAGGAUCCUACAUACUAUGUGCCUAAAGAAGAUGAAUCUCCAUGAAUGUUUGGUUCAAUCAAAAAGCAUAGAUGGUCUAUGCAAGUGCCAAGGAGUUAAUUUGAGAGGUUGGUUUAUGGUUCCUUUUGAUGGAUGGCAAAAGCAGCCAAGGUACUGGCUUUGGGUGUAAAGGAUCAUAUUUGUUGGGCUACUUCAGUAUAUACAUAAAAAUGGUCCCUGGGGAUUAAGUUGCCACAAUUAUCACCUUCUAUAUAUGAACCCACAUUAUUUUAUAUGAUUAUAUAGUUAUUUUGUUUAAGCCAGUUUUGUAAUGAGAUAAAUCAUUUAG